rnacentral:tRNA from 1 species
GCCGCAGGUCAGCGGAUCGGCUGUUUCGUACUCGUAAUGCGUAGGUCAAGGGUUCGACUCCCUUAGGCGGCUCCA